rnacentral:rRNA from 1 species
UACGAAGGGGGCUAGCGUUGCUCGGAAUCACUGGGCGUAAAGCGCACGUAGGCGGACUCUUAAGUCGGUGGUGAAAUCCCGGGGCUCAACCCCGGAACUGCCCUCGAAACUAGGUAGCUAGAAUCUUGGAGAGGUCAGUGGAAUUCCGAGUGUAGAGGUGAAAUUCGUAGAUAUUCGGAAGAACACCAGUGGCGAAGGCGACUGACUGGACAAGUAUUGACGCUGAGGUGCGAAAGCGUGGGGAGCAAACAGG